rnacentral:rRNA from 1 species
UACGAAGGGAGCUAGCGUUGUUCGGAAUUACUGGGCGUAAAGGGCGCGUAGGCGGCUUCGAUAGUCGGGCGUGAAAUGCCUGGGCUCAACCCAGGAAUGGCGUUCGAUACUGCGAGGCUUGAGUGUGGGAGAGGAUAGUGGAAUUCCCAGUGUAGAGGUGAAAUUCGUAGAUAUUGGGAAGAACACCAGCGGCGAAGGCGGCUAUCUGGACCACAACUGACGCUGAGGCGCGAAAGCGUGGGGAGCAAACAGG